UACGUAUUGUGCAAGCGUUAAUCGGAAUUACUGGGCGUAAAGCGUGCGCAGGCGGUUUUGUAAGACUGUCGUGAAAUCCCCGGGCUUAACCUGGGAAUGGCGAUGGUGACUGCAAGGCUAGAGUUUGGCAGAGGGGGGUAGAAUUCCACGUGUAGCAGUGAAAUGCGUAGAUAUGUGGAGGAACACCGAUGGCGAAGGCAGCCCCCUGGGUCAAAACUGACGCUCAUGCACGAAAGCGUGGGGAGCAAACAGG
rnacentral:rRNA from 1 species